AAACCGCGCAAAUUCAAUAUAUUGCGGAGAAAAUGUAGGCCU
rnacentral:ncRNA from 2 species